rnacentral:rRNA from 1 species
CCUACGGGGGGCAGCAGUGGGGGAUAUUGGACAAUGGGGGAAACCCUGAUCCAGCGACGCCGCGUGAGUGAAGAAGUAUUUCGGUAUGUAAAGCUCUGUCAGCAGGGAAGAAAGAAAUGACGGUACCUGACCAAGAAGCCCCGGCUAACUACGUGCCAGCAGCCGCGGUAAUACGGAGGAUGCGAGCGUUAUCCGGAUUUAUUGGGUUUAAAGGGUGCGCAGGCGGCACGGCAAGCCGGCGGUCAAAUCGCGGGGCUCAACCCCGCCCAGCCGUCGGAACUGCCGGGCUAGAGUGGGCGAGAAGG